rnacentral:rRNA from 1 species
GCGCAGCAGGCGCGAAAACUUGUCAAUGCACGAAAGCGUGAACGGGCUACCCCGAGUGCCGUCCGCUGAGGAUGGCUUUUCUCUGCUGUAAGGAGGCAGAGGAAUAAGGAGAGGGCAAGUCUGGUGUCAGCCGCCGCGGUAAUACCAGCUCUCCGAGUGGUAGGGAUGAUUAUUGGGCUUAAAGCGUCCGUAGCUGGCCCUUCAAGUCUCUUGUUAAAUCCAGCGAUUCAAUCGUUGGACUGCGGGAGAUACUGUUGAGCUAGGAGGCGGGAGAGGCCGACGGUAUUUCCGGGGUAGGGGUGAAAUCCUAUAAUGCCGGGAAGACCACCAGUGGCGUAGGCGGUCGGCUAGCACGCGCUCGACAGUGAGGGACGAAAGCUGGGGUAGCGAACCGGAUUAGAUACCCGUGUAGUCC